rnacentral:rRNA from 1 species
UACGGAAGGCAGCAGUGGGGAAUAUUGCACAAUGGGCGAAAGCCUGAUGCAGCUAUGCCGCGUGUAUGAAGGAGGCCUUAGGGUUGUAAAGUACUUUCAUCGGGGAGGAAAAAACAAAACUAAUAAUUUUAUUUCUUGACGUUACCCGAAAAAGAAGCACCGGCUAACUCCGUGCCAGCAGCCGCGGUAAUACGGAGGGUGCUAGCGUUAAUCAGAAUUACUGGGCGUAAAGAGCACGUAGGUGGUUUUUUUAAAGUCAGAUGUGAAAUCCCUGGGCUUAACCUAGGAACUGCAUUUUGAAACUGAAAUACUAGAGUAUCGUAGAGGGAGGUAGAAUUCUAGGUGUAGCGGUGAAAUGCGUAGAUAUCUGGAGGAAUACCUGUGGCGAAAGCGGCCUCCUAAACGAAUACUGACACUGAGGGUGCGAAAGCGUGGGGAGCAAACGAGGGAUUAGAUACCCGU